rnacentral:rRNA from 1 species
UACGUAGGGCGCAAGCGUUUAUCCGGAAUUAUUUGGGCGUAAAGAGCUCGUAGGCGGUUUGUCGCGUCUGCCGUGAAAGUCCGGGGCUCAACUCCGGAUCUGCGGUGGGUACGGGCAGACUAGAGUGAUGUAGGGGGAGACUGGAAUUCCUGGUGUAGCGGUGAAAUGCGCAGAUAUCAGGAGGAACACCGAUGGCGAAGGCAGGUCUCUGGGCAUUAACUGACGCUGAGGACGAAAGCAUGGGGGAGCGAACAG